GACAGAGGUGCCAAGCGUUAGGCGGAAUCACUGGGCUUAAAGCGUGUGUAGGUGGACCUGUAAGUACCUUGUGAAAUCCCACGGCUUAACCGUGGAACUGCUCGGUAUACUGCGGGUCUGAGGUGCCUAGGGGGCGAGCGGAACAAAUGGUGGAGCGGUGAAAUGCGUAGAUAUCAUUUUGGAACGCCAAUGGUGAAAAACAGCUCGCUGGGGGGGCAUCCUGACACUGAGACACGAAAAGCCCAGGGGGAGCAAAACGGGG
rnacentral:rRNA from 1 species